rnacentral:lncRNA from 1 species
UUUAUUUUCUCAAUGUCCUUCCCAUGGCUUGCUCGAACCUCAUUGACCCUUCUGAAUAAAGGCACAUUUGCUUGUCUACAUAGGUCUAUGAUCAAAUAUGGGAAUGGCAAAGCGCUUGCCACUUUGUGUGCCCGAAUGAACAACUGAUCAACAAUAAUUUGACCAAAGUCAAUCUUUAGUCCAGCAACUAGAAUAGCAAACAACACUACUCUAUGACUGUCCAAGUUAG